rnacentral:rRNA from 1 species
ACUCAAAUGAAUUGACGGGGGCCCGCACAAGCAGUGGAGUAUGUGGUUUAAUUCGAAGCAACGCGAAGAACCUUACCAGGGCUUGACAUCCGACGAAUCCCGCGGAAACGCGGGAGUGCCUUCGGGAGCGUCGAGACAGGUGGUGCAUGGUUGUCGUCAGCUCGUGUCGUGAGAUGUUGGGUUAAGUCCCGCAACGAGCGCAACCCUUAUUGUUAGUUGCCAUCAUUAGGUUGGGCACUCUAACGAGACUGCCGGUGACAAAUCGGAGGAAGGUGGGGACGACGUCAAAUCAUCAUGCCCCUUAUGUUCUGGGCUACACACGUACUACAAUGGCUGUCAACAGAGGGAAGCAAUGCCGCGAGGCGGAGCCAAUCCCUAAAAGCAGUCUCAGUUCGGAUUGCAGGCUGAAACCCGCCUGUAUGAAGUCGGAAUUGCUAGUAAUCGCGAAUCAGCAUGUCGCGGUGAAUACGUUCCCGGGCCUUGUACACACCGCCCGU